AACAGAAAAGCCCACAUCAGUGUGCAUUUGCAAUCACAAAAAUAAACGCCGGCCACAAUGACCUUGUUUUCAACAUAAACAUGAAGAUCGCAAAUGGAUGCAAUGCCACAGAGAUUUUCCCAGGACUUUUUCACAACUGCCUCGUGGCAGUGAAACGAGUUGCCAAGCAUAUUUCCCAAAAAGAGUUGGAAAUGGCUCAUUACUUGUGUUCAGACAGUUCAACUUUACAAGCAGAGCAUCUUUCUAUUUGCCCUGCAAGAUGGAAUAGGCAAAUUCAAAGGAAAAUCUCUGGAAGAAAUAACACCCAACAUCAACUCUGAGCAGGACCUGAGCGACUCAGAUGCAGAGGAAGUCCAAUCUGAGCAGACUGCAACACCAAGUCAAGAAGGAAACUCAGAGGGUGGACAUUCAGAUCACAGGGCUGCUACCUCAAAGAAGAAAACUGGGGUCAUAAAAAACUCAAAUCAAAAGGAGAAACCAAGAAGGCCCUGGUCACAGUCUGAGAGAAAAAUCGUGGAACACCAUUUCAAGGACUUCCUGGAGGAAAUGAAGCUCCCUGGAAAAGUAGACUGUCAAAGAUGCUUAAAUGAAAAUCAGACUCUAAGGGACAAUGGAAGAGACUGGAAAACCAUAAAAUACUUUCUGCACAACAAAAUAGUAUAUAUCAAAAAGAAUGUGUGCCAAGAGCGUUAAGACCAAUAAAACUGUUGGAAAAAAUGUUGUUGUACUGGAUAGUCAGGAUCCUGUAUUGGAGACUGCACUAUUCAGUAGGAAAACACACCUCAACGCAUCACAACGUCGAAGUCAUCCACAAGCGACAGCAGUCAGCGGGAAAGAGGAAGUCGGCAGCUGCCUUCACUCUCCUACCCAUCGGCUCUAUAGCCUAGUUUCUAAUGUAUUAAUAUAGUGUUUUUAAAAAAACAAAGAUACAUUUUUACAUGUAGUAAGCAUUUAGCCUCA